GGCCAGUGUGGUGUAGGAGUUUGAGCAUUGGACUAUGACUCUGCAGACCAGGGUUCAAAUCCCAACUUGGCCA
rnacentral:tRNA from 1 species